rnacentral:rRNA from 1 species
AUGGAGGCCGCGAUUGCAUGGCUGGUGCAGACCAUCCUUGCAACCCUCCUGAUCGAUAAGCUCGAUGCGUGGAUUCGGCAAGUCGGGCUUGCCGAUGACGUUGAAAAGCUCAAGUCAGAGAUCAGGAGAGUCAAGAUGGUGGUCUCGGCUGUGAAGGAGAGAGGGAUCAGGAACGAGUCGCUGGAUGAAUCUCUCGCUCUUCUCGUGGAGCGACUCUACGAAGCCGACGACGUGGUCGACGAGCUGGAUUACUACAGGCUCCAAGAGCUGGUUGAAGGUGCCCGGCCCCGGCUGCCUGCAGAUCCAACCGUGCUGGUUCCUUCCAACCUGCCCAUCCAAGGAGAAGGAGCUACAAGAAACGAGCCCGAAGGUAACAGUGCUGGCAAAUCACGGUCCGUGGUCUGGGAAAACUUUACAGUCACAGAAACUGUUGACAGAAAGUCCGCCAAAGCAGUAUGUAGACACUGUGGCAAUGAGUUCAAGUGUGAUACGAAGAUCAACGGUACAUCAUCUAUGAAGAAACAUUUAGAGAAGGAGCAUCCCGAUAAGAUGAAACCUCCUGGAGCGCAUCCACCAAACCCUUCAAGCACUGCUGAGCCUAUUGCCAUUGCCAGCUCAUCCAGGGGAAAAGGAAAGAAACAGCGGUCCAAGGCAUGGGAUAAUUUUGAUGUUAUAGAAAAUGACAUUGGACAGCCAACCAAAGCAAUAUGUAAAUACUGCCACACAGAGAUCAAGUGCGGAAUGAAGACCGGGACAGCGGGUAUGCUUAACCAUAACAAGAUUUGCAAGAAGAAACCUGAACCAAAUGACCAGCCACCAAACCUGUCGAGCUACAAGAAAAAGAAGGAGAGUGGAUGA